rnacentral:rRNA from 1 species
GUGCAGCAGUCGCGCAAACUUUGCAAUACACGAAAGUGUGACAGGGCUAUCCCGAGUGCCGUCCGCUGAGGGUGGCUUUUACCCAGUCUAUAAAGCUGGGAGAAUAAGGAGAGGGCAAGUCUGGUGUCAGCCGCCGCGGUAAUACCAGCUCUCCGAGUGGUGUGGAUGUUUAUUGGGCCUAAAGCAUCCGUAGCUUGCCAAGCAAGUCCCCUGUUAAACCCACCGAAUUAAUCGUUGGAUUGCGGGGGAUACUGCUCGGCUAGGGGACGGGAGAGGCCGACGGUAUUUCCGGGGUAGGGGUGAAAUCCUAUAAUCCCGGGAAGACCACCAGUGGCGAAGGCUGUCGGCUAGAACGCGCCCGACGGUGAGGGAUGAAAGCUGGGGGAGCGAACCGGAUUAGAUACCCGGGAGUCC